rnacentral:lncRNA from 1 species
AUGAAACCCAGGGGGAAGAGAUCAUUUAAGAAGGAAAUGGCCUACAAGGUCCUCAAAUUUCUCUCCAUUAUGAAUCGGAAAACCCCUCCAGCUUCUUCGUGCUCCCAGGGCACAUGUAGAAGAUGCUUUGCCUCUAGAGUCGCACCAGAAAAGAAAGUGGCAGCCCUCAUCAGAACCAACGGCCUCGCCCACAACUUCUCCAAUCAAGAAAGCAAAAGCAAAACCACCACGCAAACGCUCUCUUCCCUCCAAGACAUAAACAGCGACAAAAACAGCUCGCAGGGGCAGCUCCAUCUCUCUCUCUUCUUCACAGCAAACGUGAAGAACAAGGACAUGCAUUCCAUUUUAAAAUGAUUUUAAAAUGAUGCCCGGUCUACAGGUAACCAUUCUUAAAGGGAAGCUCUCUUUCAAUAAAGCACCAACUUAGCCUUCUUCAUGAAGCUUGCGUUCUCUCAGUUUCUCCUCGGAAGUGUCCAAAUAGAAAUGUAUUUUCCUGGACAAUUUCGCCCCACACUGGAAGGCUGUAUAGAGCCUUGGAAAAGAGCAAGCAGCCUUUGGCGUCAGACGGACCUGGGCUGCCUGCCUGCUUGUCCACUUCAUCCCCAGCACACUUGAACAAGCCCUUCAGCCUUUCCAAGCCUCAGUGUCCACAUCCCUGAAAUGAGCUUUUUUUU